rnacentral:rRNA from 1 species
AUUUAGCUAGUCAAACAAGCAAAGUGUAAUUUAAGUUUGCACCCCCGAAACUAAGUGAGCUACUUUAAAACAGCCAUAUGGGCCAACUCGUCUCUGUUGCAAAAGAGUGAGAAGAUUUUUAAGUAGAAGUGACAAGCCUAUCGAACUUAGAGAUAGCUGGUUAUUUGGGAAAAGAAUAUUAGUUCUGCCUUAAGUUUAUAAUAACACACUAUUAAAGUAACUUAAGAGUUAUUCAAAUAAGGUACAGCCUAUUUGAAACAGGAAACAACCUAAAAUGUUGGGUAACACUACUUCUAUAUAUAAUUAAGUUGGCCUAAAAGCAGCCACCUUUAAAAAAGCGUCAAAGCUUAAUUAUCAAGUAAUAAUAAUUACAAUAAAAAUGUUAAACCCACCACCAAUACCAAAUAACUUUAUACAAUUAUAAUAGAUAUAAUGCUAAAACUAGUAAUAAGAAAAUGACUUUCUCCUAAAUAUAAGUGUAACGCAGAAUAAACCAAUCACUGCUAAUUACUGUUUAUGAUCAUAUAGUAGUAACCUCACUAGAAAAUUCUACUAUUUUACAACAUUAACCUAACACAAGAAUAUUGCAGGAAAAAUUAAAAGAAAAGGAAGGAACUCGGCAAAAUAAAGCCU